rnacentral:rRNA from 1 species
UUGAAAGGGAAACGAUUGAAGUCAGUCGUACCAGCGGGAAAUCAACCUUUCGACUGUGGUUUUGGAGUUUUGAAGAGUGUCAAAACCUUUGAGAUUUCAAAAAUUUCGCUCUUUUGGUGUACUUUCUCGUGGGUAGGUUAACAUCGAUUUUGAUCAUCAUAAAAAGAUUGGAGGAAUGUAGCUUCGAUCUUGUAUUGAAGUGUUAUAGCCUUUGGUAAAUGUGAUGAUUAGGAUCGAGGAUUGCAACGAAUACCCUUCUGGGCUAUCCGCCUGAUCUCUGAUACGUGGCCUUGGCAUCGAAAGCUUGCUUAUGGUAUCAAGGUAUUACGGUCAAAAGGUUAGAACGGAUUACAUUCGUUAAGGAUGUUGACGUA